AGCAUAUAAGUAAGCGGAGGAAAAGAAACUAAAUAGGAUUCCCUUAGUAAUGGCGAAUGAACAGGGAUCAGCUCAGUAUGGAAAUCGGGGCUUCCCAGCCUUGAAUUGUAGUCUCAAGAGGUAUCGCCAACGGAGGCGCAGAUGUAAGCCUCUUGGAAAAGAGCAUCAAUGAGGGUGAGAAUCCCGUUUGUCAUCUGCAGUCCCCCGUGCACGGUGUAUCUUCUAAGAGUCGCGUUCCUCGGGAUUGGAGCGUAAAGUGGGUGGUAAAUUUCAUCUAAGGCUAAAUAUGGGUUCGAGACCGAUAGCAAACAAGUACCAUGAGGGAAAGAUGAAAAGGACUUUGAAAAGAGAGUUAAAAGUGCCUGAAAUUGCUGAAAGGGAAGCGAAUGGAACCAGUGCUCUUGGCGAGAUUGUUGUGCGCUAUGGUGAUUGCUGGCUGCUUCAGCGCAAGCGGGGUAGUUGGUACUGAGCCUGCCGCGCGCAGUGUUUCUUACCUUGUGCGUCACCGUCGGUUCACAGGCGAGGAUACUUCUGAGGACAUGGUAACUCUUCCACGGAGGUGUGAAUGUCUUUGGUAAUACUCGUUUGUAGACCGCUCACCUUCGGGUUACGAUGACUAAAUGGUUCUAUUCGACCCGUCUUGA
rnacentral:rRNA from 1 species